rnacentral:rRNA from 1 species
GACGAACGCUGGCGGCGUGCUUAACACAUGCAAGUCGAACGGAAAGGCCCUGCUUUUGUGGGGUGCUCGAGUGGCGAACGGGUGAGUAACACGUGAGUAACCUGCCCUUGACUUUGGGAUAACUUCAGGAAACUGGGGCUAAUACCGGAUAGGAGCUCCUGCUGCAUGGUGGGGGUUGGAAAGUUUCGGCGGUUGGGGAUGGACUCGCGGCUUAUCAGCUUGUUGGUGGGGUAGUGGCUUACCAAGGCUUUGACGGGUAGCCGGCCUGAGAGGGUGACCGGCCACCUUGGGACUGGGAUACGGCCCAGACUCCUACGGGAGGCAGCAGUGGGGAAUAUUGCACAAUGGGCGGAAGCCUGAUGCAGCAACGCCGCGUGCGGGAUGACGGCCUUCGGGUUGUAAACCGCUUUCGCCUGUGACGAAGCGUGAGUGACGGUAAUGGGUAAAGAAGCACCGGCUAACUACGUG